rnacentral:rRNA from 1 species
CCUACGGGAGGCAGCAGUGGGGAAUAUUGGUCAAUGGGCGCGAGCCUGAACCAGCCAAGUAGCGUGAAGGAUGACUGCCCUACGGGUUGUAAACUUCUUUUAUAAAGGAAUAAAGUGAGGCACGUGUGCCUUUUUGUAUGUACUUUAUGCAUAAGGAUCGGCUAACUCCGUGCCAGCAGCCGCGGUACUACGGAGGAUCCGAGCGUUAUCCGGAUUUAUUGGGUUUAAAGGGAGCGUAGGUGGGUUGUUAAGUCAGUUGUGAAAGUUUGCGGCUCAACCGUAAAAUUGCAAUUGAUACUGGCAGCCUUGAGUACAGUUGAGGUAGGCGGAAUUCGAGGUGUAGCGGUGAAAUGCUUAGAUAUCACGAAGAACUCCGAUGGCGAAGGCAGCUUACUAAACAGCCACUGACAUUGAUGCUCGAAAGUGUGGGGAGCAAACAGGAUUAGAUACCCGUGUAGUC